rnacentral:rRNA from 1 species
AGCUCCAAUAGCGUAUAUUAAAGUUGUUGCAGUUAAAAAGCUCGUAGUUGGAUUUCUGGUUUGAACGUCCGGUCCGCUUGUGGUUCGCCCAUGAGUGCGUACUAUGGAUGUUUGGGCCAUUUUUUGUGAGGAAAUUUUUCUGCCAUUAAGUUGGUGGUUUAAUGGACUUGCAUCGUUUACUGUGAAAAAAUUAGAGUGUUUAAAGCAGGCGUUUGCUCAUUUUGAAUACAUUAGCAUGGAAUAAUAAGAUACGACUUUGGUGGUCUAUUUUGUUGGUUUGCACACCAGGGUAAUGAUUAAUAGGGACAGUUGGGGGUAUUCAUAUUUCAGCGUCAGAGGUGAAAUUCUUGGAUCGCUGAAAGAUGAGCUUAGGCGAAAGCAUUUACCAAGGAUGUUUUCAUUA